CUGGGGUGGGCGAGACGCUGGCGGAGCUGGAACUCGGGGUGAGGGGUGUGUGUGGUGUUUGUGUGUGCGUGCGUGUGCGUGUGUCCGUGUGUGUGCGCGUGUGUGGCCUUUCAGAGUGUAGAAUUUUUCUCCGAGUUGAACUGCUCACCGACCGACUGCCCCGAGGGGCUGAAGAUGCUGCCCUAGUCGGUGGCGAGGUUCCGCGCAACAGCUGGCUGGUAGCCCGUGUCUGGCGGCGGACGCGCGCGGUGACUGUGCCGUCUUCACGAGUGUCGCGUGUGCCCUCUGCGAUUACGCUUCGUGUGUGCGUGCUCUGCCUAGCCUGCCGCUGCCUCAGCCUGGAAGACUUUCAGGUCCGCUUCUGCUUCCCGACCAGAGUGUGCUGUGCCUGGAUUUGUGCCUCAGGCCAGCUAAAAACAAGGUUCAGACAGACACUGAAGCAGGAAGUUACAUUCAUGGAGAAUCCAGUGCAUUGAAGUCUCUGCAAAAAAGUGGCCAUUGGAGCUUACCGUUGAUUGAAGAAAUACACAGCAGGGUGAGUUUUCCACAACGCCUUCAGACCUGUGCCUCCACCACUUACAGCUGGGCGACACUGAGCACGUUCCGUAACAUCCGUGAGCCUCGUUUCCUGUAGCAACAUGGAAACACUAGUUAGUGGGGCAGUUUAGAGCACCUUCUGUGUUAAGACAAGGAAAGUUGUCAGGACAGCGCCUGGCAUGUGGAGAGCUGUCAGUCAGUUCUAGCUGCUGUUCCUUUUGUCCUUCCCACAUCUCCCCGAAGCGUGUUGCGGACAGAUGGUGUCGAGACUACUUCUGACUCACUGGAGGGACUUGGCGCGAUCACGUCAGCUCCUCAGGGACUCCAGAACUGAGUCGGGGGCGGGGGCACAGGGGACGGCGUAUGUUUCUUAGCAUAGUGAGUAUUCAGCUCUCCUUAUGGGUGAUGAUGAAGUCCGAGUGGAAACUUCUCUAGGAAAUUAGACCAAAUGACCCGUUCAUACGUCUUGUACGGUGGUCGGAAAAGUAAGUGGUCACUGGAUAAGGAUAGAACACGAGUCUGUGAAUUUGCAUAAUCAUGUCAAAGAGUGAAAUGUAAAGGCCAAAGAACCUCAUCACACGGCUUCUUUUCUUGCUGUUAGUUCUAUUGAAUCCACUUCUCCUGCAUCAGAUGGUCACAGGUGAAUCCGGGAACGCUAUGAAACUGUUACUAGGUCAAAUUGUCAUCGGUAAGACUUUAUUUCUCAUGGAGUUUUCACAUGGCCAGUUUUAUCGUGCGGAUUUUUCUCUUCCAUUAAUACUCAUUAUUGAUUGAACAAAAGGCCGAUGUAUUAAUAUGUUCUGAGCUCCAGCAUGAGGAGAUGGUAAACAGUGUUUUUGGAGAGUCUGAGGAAAGGGGCGGUGGGGAGGGAAAGGGAGAGGGCGAGGUGAAGGUAUACUGGGGGCAGGAAGAGAGAAGUCGUGGCAAACAGGAGGGAAGGAUGAGGGGCGCAAGCAGAAAGCAGAAGUAAAGAGACACAGGAAUAGAAGCUCACAUGUCAGGAGGCUUACUAUAGGCCUGGCAUUGUUUUUAGCUCUUUCCCUACAGAUAGACUUUUUUUUAAAGUCAUUGACUAGUCACUGCAACACUGGGAGGUAAGUAUUUUUAAGGUUGACAUGCCCUGUUUACAGACCAGGAAACUGAGACACGUGGAGGUUAAGAGGGGAAGUAACUUACCCAAAGCCACCUAGCCAGCAAGGGCAGAGUCAGGGUGGUACCCAGGUCAGAGAGAAGCAUAAAGAGACGUGGGAUUUGGCCCUAAACUGCAGUGCACCUCCGUGUCCAGUGUCCUCUGGCUCAAAAGACAGGUGAACGUGUGCAGCAGCUUAAUCUGAUUACACUGGAUCUGGGUAUGGAUUGAACAUGAUGUCUCUUCAGUGCAUGAGACACUGUGGGGUGACAAGUCACUCUAGGCACAUCACUAAGUGGGUGUCUGGUUCAUAUCAAGGUCCGUACAUGUGGACGUCAGCAUUGGUAUCCUCAUCGUCAUUAUCAUGAUGGACAGUAGUUUAUGGUAUAAUGUGAGGAAACAAAACAGCAGAUGAAAGAGUGUAGAUGACCUCCCCACUCCAAUCUCAUGAUUUAAAAAAUGCAUAGCAUGAAGCCUGGAAGAGAGUACACCACAUUAAGUCAUUUACCCUAAGUGUGAGAUGCUAGAUAAUUUGCAAAUAACAUUUUGUUCACUGUUUGAUUUGCUGUAUCCUCAUUCUUGUUGCACAGCCAGUGUCUGGUACGAGUUUCCAGUCGUUUUUAUGAAGACUGCGGCUUUGAUACCCUUGCCAGGUGAACACCCAGUCCGGGCAUUUAACGCAGAGAGGAGCGAUGUGGUACAGUAGAGAGGAGCAGCGGGGGAAGCAGAGAGCUUUGGAU